AGAGCGAACGCUGGCGGCAGGCUUAACACAUGCAAGUCGAGCGCCCCGCAAGGGGAGCGGCAGACGGGUGAGUAACACGUGGGAACGUACCCUUUGGUUCGGAACAACCCAGGGAAACUUGGGCUAAUACCGGAUACGUCCGUAAGGAGAAAGAUUUAUCGCCAAGGGAUCGGCCCGCGUCUGAUUAGCUAGUUGGUGGGGUAAUGGCCCACCAAGGCUACGAUCAGUAGCUGGUCUGAGAGGAUGAUCAGCCACAUUGGGACUGAGACACGGCCCAAACUCCUACGGGAGGCAGCAGUGGGGAAUAUUGGACAAUGGGGGCAACCCUGAUCCAGCCAUGCCGCGUGAGUGAUGAAGGCCUUAGGGUUGUAAAGCUCUUUUAGCAGGAAGAUAAUGACGGUACCUGCAGAAAAAGCCCGGCUAACUCGUGCUAGCAGCCGC
rnacentral:rRNA from 1 species